rnacentral:rRNA from 1 species
GGUACUGCCUGAUGGAGGGGGAUAACUACUGGAAACGGUAGCUAAUACCGCAUAACGUCGCAAGACCAAAGAGGGGGACCUUCGGGCCUCUUGCCAUCGGAUGUGCCCAGAUGGGAUUAGCUAGUAGGUGGGGUAACGGCUCACCUAGGCGACGAUCCCUAGCUGGUCUGAGAGGAUGACCAGCCACACUGGAACUGAGACACGGUCCAGACUCCUACGGGAGGCAGCAGUGGGGAAUAUUGCACAAUGGGCGCAAGCCUGAUGCAGCCAUGCCGCGUGUAUGAAGAAGGCCUUCGGGUUGUAAAGUACUUUCAGCGGGGAGGAAGGGAGUAAAGUUAAUACCUUUGCUCAUUGACGUUACCCGCAGAAGAAGCACCGGCUAACUCCGUGCCAGCAGCCGCGGUAAUACGGAGGGUGCAAGCGUUAAUCGG